AACACUACGUGUUUGUAGUGGAAAUCAUUUUAUUGCUUUUUAGAAAAGCCCUUCGACUGCGCUCAGGGUGACAAAGUAAUAAAAGAUUGGAACGAAUAGCGGGAAUAGCU
rnacentral:sRNA from 1 species